rnacentral:rRNA from 1 species
UACGUAGGGGGCAAGCGUUACCCGGAUUCACUGGGCGUAAAGCGCGUGUAGGCGGCUGGUCAAGCGUGAUGUGAAAUCUCCGGGCUUAACCCGGAAACUGCAUUGCGAACUGGCCUGGCUAGAGUGUAGGAGAGGGCAGCAGAAUUCCUGGUGUAGCGGUGAAAUGCGUAGAUAUCAGGAGGAAUACCAGUGGCGAAGGCGGCUGCCUGGCCUAUAACU